rnacentral:rRNA from 1 species
UGGCUCAGGAUGAACGCUAGCGGCAGGCUUAACACAUGCAAGUCGAGGGCAUCGGGAGUAGCAAUACUUGCCGGCGACCGGCGCAAGGGUGCGUAACGCGUGAGCAACAUGCCCGUAUCAGGGGGAUAAUCCAUGGAAACGUGGUCUAAUACCCCAUAGUAAUUAUGUAAGGCAUCUUAUAUAAUUUAAAGCUUUGGUGGAUACGGAUUGGCUCGCGUGACAUUAGCUAGAUGGUAAGGUAACGGCUUACCAUGGCUACGAUGUCUAGGGGUUCUGAGAGGAAGGUCCCCCACACUGGAACUGAGACACGGUCCAGACUCCUACGGGAGGCAGCAGUGAGGAAUAUUGGACAAUGGAUGGAAAUCUGAUCCAGCCAUGCCGCGUGCAAGGAAGACGGCCCUAUGGGUUGUAAACUGCUUUUGUAUGGGAGCAAUAAGGGCUACGCGUAGUCCGAUGAGAGUACCAUACGAAUAAGCACCGGCUAACUCCGUGCCAGCCGCAGC